UGAAGCUGCUCUCUGAUGGGCUGAAGGAUCCACACUGUACACUGGAGAUACUGAGGAUGCAGGACUGCAGUAUUACAGAUGAAGGUUGUGCUGCUCUGGCUUCAGCUCUGAGGUCAAACUCCUCAUCACACCUGGGAGAACUGAAUCUGUACCGUAAUAAACCAGGAGAAUCAGGAGUGAAGCUGCUCUGUGAUCUACUGAAGGAUCCACACUGUAAACUGGAGACACUACACAUUAAGAAUGAUAUACUCACCAGGUCUGGUGUAUGACAGGAGUCUCUCCUCAGACCUU